ensembl:lncRNA
GCCUUGUCCCUUCCUUACCAGACCUUUGAAGUGGUUGUUCCAAGGUGAGGACAGUGCAUGGGCGUGGGCGCGCACACACGCAAUACCCAGAGGACCGCUGAGGACCUGAGAGAGCCUCAUUCAGUCCCUUUAGUCUCUUGAGGGGGCGGGGGGGGGGGAGGUCCAUCUUUCUCACGGAAGAGGGAAUGGCAACCCACUUUAGUGUUCUUGCCUGGAGAAUCCCAUGGUCAGAGGAGCCUGGUAGGCUACAGUCCAUGUGGUCGCUAAGAGUCCGACAGGAUUGAGCUACUAACAUUCACUCACUCAUCUUUCUCAAGGAUUGACUGCUGCUGCUGCCCUCCUGUCCCUCACAUUGCACCACUUCCAACCUCCCCAAGACACACAGGACCUCUGCAGGAACUCAAGGACUUCACAAAGACUUGAAGUUCUGGAAGUUGGAAGCCUGCGAUUAGGCUGCCAGCAUGUGGACUGGUGAUCUUGAAGCCUUCCGGAAAACUUUGAAAGAAGCUUUUUUCUUUCUUUUUUUUUUUUUUCUGACUCCAUGGAGACAAAUAGAUUAAUCAGUUCACAGAUUAUGGUUAUCUUUGGUUGAGAGAGGAAGUCAGGAGACAAAUGUAAGUGCCCUGCUCACCACUCCUUUGAGGCAUAUGCUUAGGGAAGAAAAAAAAUCACCCUGGGGCAGACUGCGGUGUGGGUCAGGGGCCUAUGUAUGUGACAGGUGUCACUUAAUAAGAGUAGGGAUAUUUCACUCUGCAAACACCUCCCACUAUAGUCUUCUUCGGAUCUGUGCUUCCUUUGGUUUGUGUUGGAGUGUCCUAGCCUACAGAAAAGCUUGUCGCACAAUAGUAUUAUAGGGACACAUUUGCAGGAAUGUUUCUGUCACCCAGCCACCCAAGCCCUGGCCAUCUGCUGCGAUUUUUUUGAACAUUGUUUUAUUUGAAGUAUAGUUGAUUUACAAUGUUGUGUUAAGUUCGGCUGUAUGGCAAAGUGAUUCAGUUAUAUGUAUGUAUAUUAUCA